GGAAUUGUUCGCAAUGGGCGCAAGCCUGACGACGCAACGCCGCGUGGAGGACGAAGAUCUUCGGGUCGUAAACUCCUGUCGAGUGGGAAGAACAUCUUUCCGUUGAAUCUUCGGGAAGACUGACGGUACCACUAAAGGAAGCCCCGGCUAGCUCCGUGCCAGCAGCCGCGGGAAUACGGGGGGGGCAAGCGUUGUUCGGAAUUACUGGGCGUAAAGGGCUCGUAGGCGGCCAACUAAGUCAGAUGUGAAAUCCCCAGGCUCAACCUGGGAACUGCAUCCGAUACUGGAUGGCUUGAAUUCGGGAGAGGGAUGCAGAAUUCCAGGUGUAGCGGUGAAAUGCGUAGAUAUCUGGAGGAAUACCGGUGGCGAAGGCGGCAUCCUGGACCGACAUUGACGCUGAGGAGCGAAAGCUAGGGGAGCAAA
rnacentral:rRNA from 1 species